rnacentral:rRNA from 1 species
UACGUAGGGUGCAAGCGUUGUCCGGAAUUACUAGGCGUAAAGAGCUCGUAGGUGGUUUGUCACGUCGUCUGUGAAAUUCCACAGCUUAACUGUGGGCGUGCAGGCGAUACGGGCUGACUUGAGUACUGUAGGGGUAACUGGAAUUCCUGGUGUAGCGGUGAAAUGCGCAGAUAUCAGGAGGAACACCGAUGGCGAAGGCAGGUUACUGGGCAGUCACUGACGCUGAGGAGCGAAAGCAUGGGU